UUCACUGGUCUUGUUUGGAUCACAAACGUUAGGUGUGGUCACUGUUAAUUCUUUGAAGACCAAUGCUCUCCUAAUCCAGCUUCAAACUGCAGCACAGUUUCUUUCUAAUUUUUUUUUUUUUUUUUUAAACACUUUAGGACAUAAGUAUGGAUCCCCUUGGAACAAACCAAAAUAUUGGCUGCCCUUGUAAGGGCUGUCAUCUUGGGCUCCCAGCUUGUCUAAACAAGAUUACACCAGUAACUGCCAGAAGGGGAGAUGCCUUGCUGUUUUUGUCACAAGAGAAAUGGUGGGAAGAACAACCAAACAAUGAACAUCCGAAAAUAACUUUGCAUUGGCAAAUUAAAAAAUUAUAAUUUACCUAGUUUACAGAAAAAAUUUAUCAUUUGCUCAUAUCAAAACCUACCUGUGAUAAAUUUGUUCCUGUUUUAAAACUUUGGCAACUGCAGGACUUGGCGAUAGCACAAUGGGUGACUGUAAGAGCAUGGUAUGUAAAAUCCUAAUGCCACAUUAUCAUUAUUGUUAUAUAACAUGUCCUUGUGUAUUCUUGCACAAUUUCUCACACAAAUUCUUGACUGUACAUACGUUGUUCUCUUUUUAUUUUAGCUUUGCUUAUUAGGCUUUGGCUCCUGAGGUUGCUUCUAUGGUAAUGUAUUUCACCUGGUAGAGAAACUGGCAGUUAUUGGAUAGAAAACAUACUCUAGUUUGCUAGCCAUCAGUGUUUUGCAGUUUGCACACCCUGUUGUUGUUUGUGUGCCCAAAGAGGAUUAUGGAGUGCAAUGCCCUGUCCUUUCUGGCUUAAUACAGAAAGUUCAGUUCAGUAUUCAUGAGGGGUGGGCUGGGGCAUGUUGGCAUCCCUGUGUUUUUCACUACCCACCCCCUAACUUGCAUGGCUUGCACCAGCAUUCUCUAAAUGGCACAAGCUAGGAAACUCCAGAGGGACCCUGGUAGUAAUGUACCCUGUCCAGCACUGAGUUCUGCAACCUCUGCCAGAAUUUUAUUUGUCACACCUGGGUACCAAUUAUUAAAUGCUCUUACACUUGCUUCCAGAGCAUUUGCAAAUGACCCCUCCUAUAUUUGCUGUCUAGAAAGUGCAGCAGCACCAAUAGAAAGGACCGAGGCUACACAGGAUAAGAGGAAUAAAAUGUACAUUGUAUAUCAGUGUUACCUAUCUUGUGGCUCUACAGUUGUUGUGCAGAUGACAAGGCUGUUGACAGUUUUGGUUCAACAACUGUGAAUGGCCAUAGGUUGGACUAUGCUACAUUAUAUAAACAAAUUGAGCCUGCAACGUCUAUUUUGCCCCAGGCCAAGAUAAAAGAUGUAACUGCACUAGCAUUUUUCACUAGUCAACGCCUAACUGGGUUUUGUCAUAGCAAAUACAUUACAAGAUGAUUACAUGCUCUUUACUUAUCUUCCCAAAUUGCCUCAAAAUAUAUUCCUUUAUGUUUGCCACUUUUUUUUCUGGCUGUUCUCCCUCUUGUUAUUUUCCAACUGUGAAAAUUUUGGCUUCCAGUCUACAAGAAACUGAUAGAAGGAGGAAGAGAGAGCAAAAGGCAUAAAGAGAGCAUGAAAAGGGGAUUAUGGUACAGAUUUCUCACCUUUCC